ACCUCCCCUUAAAAACAAACCUUCAGCCAAGCAGCGCGCCUCGGGAAAGCCGUGAAAAAAGGGAGAAAGGGACAGAGGAAAACAAAAGAAAGUGGGGCUGAGGAGGCUGAGCGCUCCCACGGCCCUCCCGCGCGGCCUCUCCUCGCCGCGGUGCGAGCUGCGGGACGGAGAGGCCGUGCCGCCGCCGAGGAGAAGCAGCAGGCCGCGCGCAGGGAGUGCACCGCGCGUGCGCGGGGCGGGGCGCGCAUGCGCCGUUUGGCGCAGUGGGCCGCGUGGGACGCGGUGCGCGCUGUGCGCUGUCAGCUCAGCGCCAGGCGGCUGUCAGCACAGAGCUGCCCUCAGCGAGCGGGAGGGCCGUUCAGAAAGAAGUGGAUCGGGAUGGCAAAGACACUACCAAUUGGAUAGCGGGGAUCUGCGUUAAAAAAAAAAAAAAAAAAAAAAAGGCUGGCGCGCCUAUCUGUGAUCCCUCGCGGGCGGGAGGAGAACUGUAGCGCUGCGGAAGCAGAGUUGCAAACCCAUCCUGCAGAAAAAGCAGCGUCAGAAACGCGGCAGCACCGCCCGCCCUGCCAGCACGUGCAGCUGCCUGCCGCCGCCGCCGCCCCGCACCGCCCCCGGCACGGCCGCCGCCGCCUCCAUUCUCCUCCUCCUCCUCGUCCCGCUGCUGCGGCGCUGGGCAGGAAGCCGCUCGCCGCCUCCCGCCGCCACCAGCACAGCUGCUGCCUGAAGAUGCGCUGCCUUUCGCACGAGGAAGAAGUUUUAAAAUAGAUGGCUUUUAAGCGGCGCUGCGUCUCCCGGCCUGCAGCCAUCCCUGCUGUCAUCAGCCCUCCUUGCCGGACGGCACCGGAACGCACGAGUGGCCCCGUUGAUGUCAGUCGAGCUGUUUGAAUGGGAGCUGUUAGGAGGGUUGCAGAACGUCGUGCUCUGCGUUUGUUCGUUAGCAAAAGACAUCAGCUCCCGCUUCCUCAGUCACAGAAACGUUCAGCGAGCAUCGAUGAAUGUCAGUGGCUGCAAUUCUUUCCCACGUGGAGGAGUUCAAUUUCACACCUUUGCUUCAUGCACGCUCCUGUGUUAGAUGCCAUGUUGUCAGGCUGCCCCUCUGCUGCCAUCUGUCACACAGCGACAACAUGUAAUAGAACGUUGGUGGGAAGGUUCAACCUCUACUGCGGUACCACCACCAUCUGCCUCUGAUGUUGUGGGCCAACAUCAUAAAACAGGAGGCACUACUUUCGGAGCAACCCUCGUACGUUACACCUGGUAUUUCGCUAGUCUGUAUCUUUGCCUCAGAUAAGCGAAUGUGAUAUGGCUGGUGAACACUGCUGAUGGCACAGAAUCGUUAAGGCUGGAAAAGACCACUGAGAUCAUCUCGUCCAACCGUCAGCCCAUCCCACCAUGCCCACAGACCACGUCCCUCUGUGCCACAUCUCUCACACUUCCCUGGGCAGUCUGUUCCAAUGCCCCGCCACUCUUUCUGAGCAGAAACUGUUCCUAAUAUCCAACUCAAACUCUCUCAGGCACAAUUUAAGGCCGUUACCUCUCAUCCUAUCUGGUCCGGUUUCCCAGGAUGGGCCAAAAUACGAGGCUGUAAAGAAAGCAGCCCUGUGGCUGUAAUUUAAGAGAACGUUAUAUCUGCUUGGAAAAAAGUGUGACUCUGAAAAUUACACGGCAGAGAAUUCAAAGUAUGGAUGGCAACAGUAAAAAAAAAUAAUUAAAAAAAUGGCUCUAAAAUUGUUUCCUUGUUGCCUGAUCUGUUGAAAUUCUGCAUGAGGAUGAGACAGGAAGGUGUUCACUGUAAAGCCAUCAACAUUAAUGGUCGUUCUGCUGUUGUCUCCACUGGGAGUAGGUUUAGAAACUAUUUCACGCUGCUUUCUUCUAUAAAAUAACACGAAACUACAUAUGCAUAGUUCUGCAGUGUCCACAGAGGAAAGGAAGUUCCCUUUGUCUGACUGCGUGCAAUAGGGCACAUAGCAGAGAAAACAGAAGGGUACACAGAUAAGGCAGUUCAGAUAAUGCAGAAGUUCACUUCUGUAGCC
ensembl:lncRNA